rnacentral:rRNA from 1 species
CCUACGGGUGGCAGCAGUGAGGAAUAUUGGUCAAUGGACGAGAGUCUGAACCAGCCAAGUAGCGUGAAGGAUGACUGCCCUAUGGGUUGUAAACUUCUUUUAUAUGGGAAUAAAAUGUUCCACGUGUGGGAUUUUGUAUGUACCAUAUGAAUAAGGAUCGGCUAACUCCGUGCCAGCAGCCGCGGUAAUACGGAGGAUCCGAGCGUUAUCCGGAUUUAUUGGGUUUAAAGGGAGCGUAGGGGGAUUGUUAAGUCAGUUGUGAAAGUUUGCGGCUCAACCGUAAAAUUGCAGUUGAAACUGGCAGUCUUGAGUACAGUAGAGGUGGGCGGAAGUCGUGGUGUAGCGGUGAAAUGCUUAGAUAUCACGAAGAACUCCGAUUGCGAAGGCAGUUCACUGGACUGCAACUGACACUGAGGCUCGAAAGUGUGGGUAUCAAACAGGAGUAGAUACCCCUGUAGUC